rnacentral:lncRNA from 1 species
UGAAGAGGUGAAGGAGUAGGAUUUCCUUUGAAGGAUCUUGAAGUCCUUGACAGAUGAGAAGAAUAUUGAAGCUGCCUAAGAAGGUCACAGCUGGAAGGCCUGAGCUGCUUUGCUGAGGGGUAGUGGGCCCUGCUGAACAAGGUACCCUAGUGAUGCCGGAGGGUUUGGAGGGCAGGAGUGCAUGUUCUCUAACAUCUGUUAAUGUAGGCCAGAGGUAUAAAUGUCUAGAGCCAGGAGGAUUCUGCAAGCAAUUAUGUUAGACUGGCCAGUCAGCACAAUAGAGGAGUGAGCUGUGGGGAAUAGAGGGUACACACGCAGCUGCAGAAAGCCAAAGAUUUCCUUUGCUAAUAAAGAUCUGGAAGCAGUCAUUGUACUCUGCUUCCCAAGAGGCAAGUUGUCUAAUCAGUAGACCACAGCGCAGAGAGAUCAAUCAAGAUGGUGGCCUUGCCUGUGCAGGUUCUGCCAGGUCAAGUGAAGCGUCAAGCUGGAGAAGAUCUAAAUGCUGACAGAAUGCUGGAACCUGCAGCCAUGUGGCCAGGAGACAGAUUCGCCUCCAGACUUCACAUGAAUCUUUUUGGGCAGUUUAACCAGUGUCACCCAGAAACCAAUACCCGUUAAUAAGCUGCUAGAUGGGAACAAAAAAAUGAAGCUCUGGAAUGCAGCCAGUGAGCCGGCUCUACUGAAACAUUGCUUACAACUUCUCUGCUGAUCCAGAUGUGAGACAAAUGUACGACCAUAGAUUCAAUUAGUAGCAAUCGCUAUAAAGUGAGCUGAAAAUGGAACAGAAAAU